rnacentral:lncRNA from 1 species
CAAUUUUUAAUAGAUAUUUUUCUUUAAUAAUAGGUAAUAGUAAUAGUUAAUAAAUAAAAUAUAGUUUUAACAUUGGAUCCCCUUUUUAAAUAACCAGCAUUAAAAAUCUGGGAAAGAUUUUUUUUGACAGCUCAUGUCUCUCUCAUCACUCUCCCUCACGUUUCCUCUCUCUCACACGUUACCCUCAUUUCUAUCAUCACAC